rnacentral:tRNA from 1 species
GCACCGAUAGCUCAGUAGGUAGAGCGCCUGGUUGAAGCCCAGGCGGUCCCAUGACGAUGACCUGGGUCGAAACCUGCUCGGUGCACCA